rnacentral:rRNA from 1 species
UCAGAUAGGGUGACAACCCCGUCNAGCCCGGAGCGUGCCGCUCCACGAGGAGCUGUCUGCGAGUCGGGCUGUUUGGGAAUGCAGCCCUAAGCGGGAGGUAAAUUCCUUCCAAGGCUAAAUAUGGGCAAGAGACCGAUAGCGAACAAGUACCGCGAGGGAAAGAUGAAAAGGACUUUGAAAAGAGAGUUAAAAAGUGCUUGAAAUUGCUGGGAGGGAAGCGAAUGGAAGCUGCGGGUGCGCCCCGGUUGGAUGUGGAACGGCCCUUAAACAAGGCUGGUCCGCCGCUCAACGCGGGGCGCUGGUCAGCGUGGGCCUUCGCGCCGGGACAAGAGCGGGACUUCGCGUCCCGUCCAUGCCGGUGCGGGGGCCGAGGAACGAAGCGCGCGCCCCCUCCGGGGGGCGUGGGGCUCGCCCCAACUGCGCGCUCGGGACGCUGGCGUAUUGAGCUCUUCAUCCGACCCGUCUUGAAACACGGACCAAGGAGUCUAACAUGUAUGCGAGCCGGUGGGCGGCAAACCCAUUGAGGCGCAAGUAACCUGACAGGUGGGACCCCGACCGCAAGGGAGGGAGCACCAUCGACCGACCGUGAUCUUCUGUGAAAGGUUUGAGUGCGAGCAUACCCGUUGGGACCCGAAAGAUGGUGAACUAUGCCUGAGCAGGGCGAAGCCAGAGGAAACUCUGGUGGAGGCUCGUAGCGAUACUGACGUGCAAAUCGUUCGUCAGACUUGGGUAUAGGGGCGAAAGACUAAUCGAACCAUCUAGUAGCUGGUUCCCUCCGAAGUUUCCCUCAGGAUAGCUGGAGCUCGNGUAAGAGUUUUAUC